rnacentral:tRNA from 1 species
GUGGCUACAGCUCAGUGGUAGAGUGUGUGCUUAGCAAGUACAAUGUCCUGGAUUCAAUCCCCAGUACCUCCA